AUUGAACGCUGGCGGCAGGCCUAACACAUGCAAGUCGAACGGUAACAGGAAGCAGCUUGCUGCUUUGCUGACGAGUGGCGGCCGGGUGAGUAAUGUCUGGGAAACUGCCCGAUGGAGGGGGAUAACUACUGGAAGCGGUAGCUAAUACCGCAUAACGUCGCAAGACCAAAGAGGGGGACCUUAGGGCCUCUUGCCAUCGGAUGUGCCCAGAUGGGAUUAGCUAGUAGGUGGGGUAACGGCUCACCUAGGCGACGAUCCCUAGCUGGUCUGAGAGGAUGACCAGCCACACUGGAACUGAGACACGGUCCAGACUCCUACGGGAGGCAGCAGUGGGGAAUAUUGCACAAUGGGCGCAAGCCUGAUGCAGCCAUGCCGCGUGUAUGAAGAAGGCCUUCGGGUUGUAAAGUACUUUCAGCGGGGAGGAAGGGAGUAAAGUUAAUACCUUUGCUCAUUGACGUUACCCGCAGAAGAAGCACCGGCUAACUCCGUG
rnacentral:rRNA from 1 species